rnacentral:rRNA from 1 species
AGAGUUUGAUCCUGGCUCAGAACGAACGCUGGCGGCGUGGAUAAGACAUGCAAGUCGAACGAUCUUAAAUGUGUAAACAUUUCAAGGCAGUGGCGAACGGGUGCGUAAUACGCAGAUAACAUUCCAAAAAGCAGAACAUAGCAUAGAGAAAUCUAUGAUAAUAGCCUAUACCCCUUUUGGGAAAAGGUGGAGACUUAGUUUCUACCGCUUUUUGAUUGAUUUGCGGCCUAUCAGCUAGUUGGCGAGGUAACGGCUCACCAAGGCAGCAACGGGUAGCUGGUCUGAGAGGAUGAUCAGCCACACUGGAACUGAGACACGGUCCAGACACCUACGGGUGGCAGCAGUCGAGAAUCUUUCACAAUGGGGGCAACCCUGAUGGAGUGACGCCGCGUGGAGGAUAAGGUCUUCGGAUUGUAAACUCCUGUCAUGCAAGAGCAAGAUUUGCCCGCAAACAGUUGGUAAAUUUGAUAGUAUUGCAAGAGGAAGAGGCGGCAAACUCUGUGCCAGCAGCCGCGGUAAUACAGAGGCCUCAAGCGUUGUUCGGAUUUACUGGGCGUAAAGGGUGUUUAGGCGGUGCAAGUAGUCAAAUGCUAAAUCCUCGAGCUCAACUCGGGAACAUUGUUUGAUACUGUUGCGCUAGAGUCUGGGAGAGGGGGUUGGAAUUCACGGAGUAGCAGUGAAAUGCGUAGAGAUCGUGAGGAAGACCAAAGGCGAAGGCAGGCCCCUGGAAAAGUACUGACGCUGAAACACGAAGGCCGAGGUAGCGAACGGGAUUAGAUACCCCGGUAGUCUCGGCAGUAAACGGUGCAUGCUUGAUUUGAGCCGAGGUUGAUUUGGUUCGAGUCGAAGUUAACACGAUAAGCGUGCCGCCUGGGAAGUACGGUCGCAAGACUAAAACUCAAAGAAAUUGACGGGGACCCGCACAAGCGGUGGAGUAUGUGGCUUAAUUCGAUGCAACGCGAAGAACCUUACCUGAGUUUGACAUGCUGGUGAAAAACGGAGUGAAAGCUCCGAAGUGAAGCAAUUCACAGCCAGAACAGGUGCUGCAUGGCUGUCGUCAGCUCGUGUCGUGAGAUGUUGGGUUAAGUCCCGCAACGAGCGCAACCCUUGUGGUUAGUUGCUACCCGAAAGGGGCACUUUAACCAAACUGCCUAGAUUAACUAGGAGGAAGGUGAGGAUGACGUCAAGUCAGGAUGGCCCUUACACUCAGGGCUGCACACGUACUACAAUGGCUAGCACAAUUAGAUCCGAAAUCGCAAGAUGGGGGAAAUCGCAAAAGCUAGCCUAAGUUCAGAUUGUAGGCUGCAACUCGCCUGCAUGAAGUUGGAAUCGCUAGUAAUGGCACAUCAGCUACGGUGCCGUGAAUACGUUCCCGGGUCUUGUACACACCGCCCGUCACAUCAUGGGAAUCGGUAUCGCCCAAAGGGGUCAUUUAUGGCUACAAAGGCAAUGCCAAUAACUGGGAUGAAGUCGUAAC